CCAAUAGCGUAUAUUAGUGUUGUUGCGGUUAAAAAGCUCGUAGUUGAAUUUCGGGAUUGGGAUAUAUCGGUCGUGCCUUUAGGGGCAUGAAUCAGUGUGUGGCCAAUUCUCACCUUCUGGUGAAUUGGGAUGCUCUCGGGUGUUUCAAUGAACUAGGACUUUUACUUUGAAAAAAUUAGAGUGUUUAAAGCGGGCAUUUUUGCUUGAAUACGUUAGCAUGGAAUAAUAAAAUAGGACGAUGGUUCUAUUUUGUUGGUUUUAGGACCACGUAAUGAUUAAUAGGGAUAGUUGGGGGCAUUAGUAUUCAAUUGUCAGAGGUGAAAUUCUUGGAUUUAUUGAGGACUAACUACUGCGAAAGCAUUUGCCAAGGAUGUUUUCAUUAAUCAAGAACGAAAGUUAGGGGAUCAAAGACGAUUUAUGUACGUCGUAGUCCUAACCAUAAACUAUGCCGACUAGGAAUCAGACAAAGUUAAUUUUUUAACGACUUGUUUGGUACCUUAC
rnacentral:rRNA from 1 species